UGCCCGUGCGGCUCCGGCUGGGGGCUGGGGGCAGAACCUCCCCGCGGUCCACUGCCCCCUGCCCAGCCCCGGCUGGUGGGUGCGGUUGGGCCUUCGCAGAGCUGCGUCCGGCCGCGGACCUGGGCUGCGGGGCGGGAGUGAGCGGGCGUCUCGCGUUUCAGCGGGGCCGGAGCCGUCUUCGGGGUUCCAGGGAGCCACGUGGUGUGGUGACCCCAAAGCCCGGCUGACGGUGGCCGCGUCCGACAUCCGCGCGCCCGAAGGCCGGCACCGCAGUCAGCCGCCGGCGGGGCCCCUUCCCCGCCGCCCCGCACCAGGCGAGCUCGGCCUGCGGGUCACUGCGGGUCACUGCGCCACGGCUCGCAGGUCCGGAGUCCGGUCGCCGUCCGCUUCGCGCUCCUUCCCCCCGCCCGGCUGUCCGCACCUGCCCCCGGGGGCGCGACGCGGCGGUGACGCGCUGUGCGAACGUCCGUGCCUGCGCGUCUGGGCUGACCACGCAUCUGGGGUCGGUUUGGGAUCCGACGUGAGAUCCAGCUCACGGUGACUCGUUUCUGCCUCCGGUUACCCUCUUUCCGGCUGUUUCUUCCAGCACUGACCCCUCCCUGCUGGGCGGCCUUUGUGCCUCUGUUAAAAUGCCCGGUCCUGCAUGUGCGCACGCUGUCUGUUUCAUCGAUGCUGUGCACUUCCUCGUGAGUGUUAGAACAGCUUGUCAGCUUCCAGCUAAAAAGCCUGGUGCGUUUUGUUUGGGAUCCCACUGAAUCCCUACAUCGGUUUGAAAAAGUUGAUACCUUGACAAUCCGGAGUCCUUCAGUCCAUGAACAUGCUGUUUUUAUCAGUAAGAGGACCUUUCCUUGUGAAAAUAGAGGAAACCUCUUGAAAAUGGAGUCAGGAAGCCCCAAAGAAGCACUCUCACGCACGUCCCGCACCUUGCAAUCUGCGUCACCGCCAGGGAGGAGAAGAUAAGAGUUAUCUUGAAGAAGGAGGACAUUUUUCCCAGAGGCAUUAAUAAUUUCCUGCUCUUAAAAAAAAGGAAGGAAGACCCCUCCCUGCCCUAGCAAUGACACACUAACUAACCGCCACUUACCGCCAAUGAGGAAAUGCCACAAACGUGAACUCUUGUUUUCUCCAAUAAACUCUUCAAAACAGCCCUUCUCAACUUUCUCCUGAAACCAAGUAAGAACUGACCUUCCCUUUGUCUCUUUGGAACUUCCUGUGGCUCACCUUAAUUGGCCUCACUCCAGACUGCAAUUCCUCUGCUAUUCCUGAAUAAACUCAGUUUGCUAGUAAAAUAGCUGGUCGUUUUAUUUUUAAGGUUG